rnacentral:rRNA from 1 species
GGGUCAGUAGGUUGGUCUUGCCACCGGUACGUACUGGUCUCACUGAUUCCUCCUUCCUGAAGAACCGUAAUGCCAUUAAUUUGGUGUUGCGGGGAGACAGGACUGUUACUUUGAAAAAAUUAGAGUGUUUAAAGCAAGCUAACGCUUGAAUACAUUAGCAUGGAAUAAUGAAAUAGGACGAUCGAUCCUAUUUUGUUGGUUUCUAGGAUUGACGUA